AACGAACGCUGGCGGCAUGCCUAACACAUGCAAGUCGAACGAAGCCUUCGGGCUUAAUGGCGCACGGGUGCGUAACGCGUGGGAAUCUGCCCUUUGGUUCGGAAUAACAGUUGGAAACGACUGCUAAUACCGGAUGAUGACGAAAGUCCAAAGAUUUAUCGCCAGAGGAUGAGCCCGCGUAGGAUUAGCUAGUUGGUGUGGUAAAGGCGCACCAAGGCGACGAUCCUUAGCUGGUCUGAGAGGAUGAUCAGCCACACUGGGACUGAGACACGGCCCAGACUCCUACGGGAGGCAGCAGUGGGGAAUAUUGGACAAUGGGCGAAAGCCUGAUCCAGCAAUGCCGCGUGAGUGAUGAAGGCCCUAGGGUUGUAAAGCUCUUUUACCCGGGAUGAUAAUGACAGUACCGGGAGAACAAGCCCCGGCUAACUCCGUGCCAGCCGCCGCGGUAA
rnacentral:rRNA from 1 species